rnacentral:rRNA from 1 species
GUGCCCGAACAGGGCGUUGUAAUUGGAAUGAGAACAAUUUAAAUCCCUUAUCGAUUAACAAUUAGAGGGCAAGUCUGGUGCCAGCAGCCGCGGUAAUUCCAGCUCUAAUAGCGUAUAUUAAAGUUGUUGCAGUUAAAAAGCUCGUAGUUGGAUUUCGGCGUGCGCUCAGGCUGGUCGGCCGUCAAGGUCUGUACCGUUUGGGUCACGCCCCACUGUAGGAUACUCACCGCUGUCCUUAACUGGGUGGCGGUCAAAGGGGGUGUGCAUGGGGGCAACUCUGUGCAUAUCUCUGGGGUUCCUACUCUUUUACUUUGAGCAAAUCAGAGUGUUCAAAGCAGGCAAUCGAGCCUUGAAUACUUCAGCAUGGGAUAAUGGAACAGGACUGGGGUCCUGAUUUCGUUGGUUUCUGGGAUCUCAGUAAUGAUUAAUAGGGAUAGUUGGGGGCAUUAGUAUUUAAUUGUCAGAGGUGAAAUUCUUGGAUUUAUGAAAGACUAACUUCUGCGAAAGCAUUUGCCAAGGAUGUUUUCAUUAAUCAAGAACGAGAGUUAGGGGAUCGAAGACGAUCAGAUACCGUCGUAGUCUUAACCAUAAACGAUGCCGACCAGCGAUUGGGAGACGUUACAUGGAUGACUCCCCCAGCAGCUUGCGAGAAAUCACAAGUCUUUGGGUUCCGGGGGGAGUAUGGUCGCAAGGCUGAAACUUAAAGGAAUUGACGGAAGGGCACCACCAGGAGUGGAGCCUGCGGCUUAAUUUGACUCAACACGGGGAAACUUACCAGGUCCAGACAUAGUAAGGAUUGACAGAUUUGAGAGCUCUUUCUUGAUUCUAUGGGGGGUGGUGCAUGGCCGUUCUUAGUUGGUGGAGUGAUUUGUCUGGUUAAUUCCGUUAACGAACGAGACCUUAACCUGCUAAAUAUGUCACUGGUAGACUUCUGCCAAAACAGGUGGGUGUCUAGGGGAAAGUUUCGAUGGACUCCGACGCAUUCAUCUGUGGAUGACUACCAGGAUGUACUUCUUAGAGGGACUAUCUGUAUCAAAGCAGAUGGAAGUUUGAGGCAAUAACAGGUCUGUGAUGCCCUUAGAUGUUCUGGGCCGCACGCGCGCUACACUGACAAGUUCAACGAGUUUAACACCUUGCUCGAUAGGGCUGGGUAAUCUUUGAAAAACUUGUCGUGAUGGGGAUAGAUCAUUGUAAUUAUUGGUCUUCAACGAGGAAUUCCUAGUAAGCGUGAGUCAUCAGCUCGCGUUGAUUACGUCCCUGCCCUUUGUACACACCGCCCGUCGCUCCUACCGAUUGAAUGAUCCGGUGAAAUGUUGGGAGCUGGGGUCCUUUGGCGGCGGGGCAACUCGUCGUCAGGGAUUCUGCAAACUUCAUUAAACCUUAUCAUUUAGA